rnacentral:lncRNA from 1 species
CCAAGAUGCCCGAAAAACCAUGAUGCAAGAGGAAGAGACAAGCAUGUGGAAGGCACAAGAGUCACAGGAACAAGAAGUGGAACAGGAAAGGGAACAAGGCAAGGAGACCCUAGGAGAGAGCAGAAAAUGGAGACACUGAAGGAGGAACCGAUUCUGGAAAAAAGAGACAAACUGUUAGCAGUACUGCUGGAAGAACAGGAGGGGGAGAUGAAGCGCAUGGGGCUGGAGAUGGACAGAGAGGUAAAAAAAAACAAGAUGGAAAGAAUGCAAGGUGGUGUGAAAGAAGCUAAAAUCCCAGAGUAGAUCAAAGGAGGCCCUCGCAUGGGCGAAAGAGGUGGAGGAGUUCUUAUACGAAGAGGAGAUGUUUUCUAAGGAUCAGAAACAGGCUACAGGCAGAUCACCUAAAGGAAAAGCCCAGGGAGCCUUGGCAGGAUGUGGUUGGGAAAAGGUGGUAGCCAAGGAGCAGCCCACUUUGUGACAUGGUCUGGAUGGCCCCAAAGACCAAGGCAAUUUAAGAGUUGAGUGAGAGUGAGGAGGUUGCUCCACACAGGGAAAGUUGGCAAAGGAAGUCUCACAUGCAGAAGCCUUGAAACAAGAGUCCUACACAGGAGAACCAAGGAAACGGGCCAGCACAGUGCAAGACCCCAAAGUGAUAGCAAGGGCAAUUAAGCUGGGCAAACUAAGCCAGGUAGUGGCAGCUAGAGAAGAACUACAACAUAGAGCAGUGAUC